GUAGGAUAAAUAAAAAGAAAUCCACACUGUAUGUGGCAAUUCAAUACAUUUUUACAGAAGAAAUGUUUUUUUGUAGGUGGUGGUCCUCCUCCGAAGUCACUGAGUGCUGUAGCAGAAGCCGUUACUAGUGUAAUUGGGGCAAAUAACACUUGCCUGAUGGGUAUAGAGGGAAGCAUUGAUACUUCCCUGCUAAACCUAGAUAUACUUGGUGAUGAAUAUGUGGGAAUCCCAAUAUUUCUUGGAUCAACUCCCUUAGAAGUAACCUCUGUCCUGGAGUCUUCAUUGCCAUUGGUAACCUCAGGCAAUGGCAGCAUGGACAUUAACCUACAAGAAAAAUGGAAGAACUAACUUGAAGGAAGCUGGAACUAGAAGUCCAGUAUUUGGAAAUGAAAAUAAGAAAGCUUAAAAAGAGGAAUGAACUAUCCUUAAUUUUAAGUCUUUAAAAAUCUUCUUAUCAUGCACUGCUAGCUAUGAUUAUAGUCAUGAUGAUAGGCAAGCAUCCUCUGUUAUUGUAUAUUCAGUUUAUUCAAAUCAUCGCUCUACAGAGUACAGUGGGGCCACAAUGAUGGAUCAGAUUUGUACAUGUCAAUAUAUUGGAAACAUUUCUUAAAAAAUCUUUUCAAGAACUGCAGGGCCAUGGUUAUCAUAUCAAUGUAGUAUGGGAAAAGGAAACAUUUUAUAAGAACAACUUAACAGAUAACAACCCCAAAACAAACUGUAAUUUUUUUCUUACUGUGUGUUACGAUUUUUUAAUAAAUGUAAAUCUUAUAUAUGACUUUUUAAGGAAAUUUUGCAUAUUCAUAAAAACUGCAAUGUUAUCAUAGCCAAUUAGUAAUGUUAUUUUUUUCAGUUCCCAUAAAGCUUGAUAGUUUGGGAUAUUGUUUAUCAAAGAAUUAUUUCAUUUUCAUCACUAUAUUUAAGUCAGAUGAAUCCUUAAAAAUUUUCAUAGCAAUGAGUUGUCAUUACAUGUACGACUAUAUAUAUGUGACUUAAUUGUCCAAAAUUGAUUGUUUUACAUUAAUUAUGAGUAGCAUAUUACAGACAUAACUAUAUCAACAAACUUUUGUUAAUUUACAAGACAUACAAUUAGUACUUGUAUAUGGUAACUGUAAAAACUCUGCUCGCUCUUAUGAAAUUUGUAAAUGUGAAGUGUGUGUGUCUGUGAUACCAGAAUUUUUGCAUUCUGAAGAAAACAUGAAUGAAAAGUUGUUUUUUUUAAAUUCAGUUGCACACUGUAUACCAGUAAAAUAUAUGAAAUAUAAUUUCUGCUUUUGACUGUUAUUCGUGAAUAAAUUGAUGAUCAUGAUAAAACACAUGU